GCCGCCUUGGCGGAAUUGGCAGACGCACGCGACUCAAAAUCGCGCGGUUUAUCCAUGCCGGUUCAAGUCCGGCAGGCGGCA
rfam:Lachnospiraceae bacterium JC7 contig00016, whole genome shotgun sequence.